GAUGAACGCUGGCGUCGUGCCUAAUACAUGCAAGUCGAGCGAACAGACGAGGAGCUUGCUCCUCUGACGUUAGCGGCGGACGGGUGAGUAACACGUGGAUAACCUACCUAUAAGACUGGGAUAACUUCGGGAAACCGGAGCUAAUACCGGAUAAUAUAUUGAACCGCAUGGUUCAAUAGUGAAAGACGGUUUUGCUGUCACUUAUAGAUGGAUCCGCGCCGCAUUAGCUAGUUGGUAAGGUAACGGCUUACCAAGGCGACGAUGCGUAGCCGACCUGAGAGGGUGAUCGGCCACACUGGAACUGAGACACGGUCCAGACUCCUACGGGAGGCAGCAGUAGGGAAUCUUCCGCAAUGGGCGAAAGCCUGACGGAGCAACGCCGCGUGAGUGAUGAAGGUCUUCGGAUCGUAAAACUCUGUUAUUAGGGAAGAACAAAUGUGUAAGUAACUAUGCACGUCUUGACGGUACCUAAUCAGAAAGCCACGGCUAACUACGUG
rnacentral:rRNA from 1 species